GAUGAACGCUGGCGGCGUGCCUAAUACAUGCAAGUCGAGCGAACAGACGAGGAGCUUGCUCCUCUGACGUUAGCGGCGGACGGGUGAGUAACACGUGGAUAACCUACCUAUAAGACUGGGAUAACUUCGGGAAACCGGAGCGAAUACCGGAUAAUAUAUUGAACCGCAUGGUUCAAUAGUGAAAGACGGUUUUGCUGUCACUUAUAGAUGGAUCCGCGCCGCAUUAGCUAGUUGGUAAGGUAACGGCUUACCAAGGCAACGAUGCGUAGCCGACCUGAGAGGGUGAUAGGCCACACUGGAACUGAGACACGGUCCAGACUCCUACGGGAGGCAGCAGUAGGGAAUCUUCCGCAAUGGGCGAAAGCCUGACGGAGCAGCGCCGCGUGAGUGAUGAAGGUCUUCGGAUCGUAAAACUCUGUUAUUAGGGAAGAACAAAUGUGUAAGUAACUAUGCACGUCUUGACGGUACCUAAUCAGAAAGCCACGGCUAACUACGUG
rnacentral:rRNA from 1 species